rnacentral:rRNA from 1 species
AUUGAACGCUGGCGGCAGGCCUAACACAUGCAAGUCGAGCGAGCGGCGGACGGGUGAGUAAUGUAUGGGGACUGCCCGAUAGAGGGGGAUAACUACUGGAAACGGUGGCUAAUACCGCAUACUAUCGGAUAACCCAUAUGGGAUUAGCUAGUGGGUGGGGUAACGGCUAACCUAGGCGACGAUCUCUAGCUGGUCUGAGAGGCUGAUCAGCCACACUGGGACGGGGACACGGCCCAGACUCCUACGGAGGCAGCAGUGGGGAAUAUUGCACAAUGGGCGGAAGCCUGAGUCAGACAUGCGGGGUGUAUGAAGAAGGCCUUAGGGUUGUAAAGUACGUUCAGCGGGGAGGCGGUACCCGCAGAAGAAGCACCGGCUAACUCCGUGCCAGCAGCCGCGGUAAUAC